rnacentral:misc_RNA from 1 species
GAUGAAGAACGCAGCGAAAUGCGAUAAGUAAUGUGAAUUGCAGAAUUCAGUGAAUCAUCGAAUCUUUGAACGCACAUUGCGCCCCCUGGUAUUCCGGGGGGCAUGCCUGUCCGAGCGUCAUUACAACCCUCAAGCUCAGCUUGGUGUUGGGCCCCGCCGCCCCGGCGGGCCCUAAAGUCAGUGGCGGUGCCGUCCGGCUCCGAGCGUAGUAAUUCUUCUCGCUCUGGAGGUCCGGUCGUGUGCUCGCCAGCAACCCCCAAUUUUUUUCAGGUUGACCUCGGAUCAGGUAGGGAUACCUGCUGAACUUAAGCAUAUCAAUAAGCGGAGGA